AGUGAACGCUGGCGGUAGGCCUAACACAUUCAAGUCGAACGGCAGCACAGUAAGAGCUUGCUCUUACGGGUGGCGAGUGGCGGACGUGUGAGGAAUACAUCGGAAUCUACUUUUUCGUGGGGGAUAACGUAGGGAAACUUACGCUAAUACCGCAUACGACCUACGGGUGAAAGCAGGGGAUCUUCGGACCUUGCGCGAUUGAAUGAGCCGAUGUCGGAUUAGCUAGUUGGCGGGGUAAAGGCCCACCAAGGCGACGAUCCGUAGCUGGUCUGAGAGGAUGAUCAGCCACACUGGAACUGAGACACGGUCCAGACUCCUACGGGAGGCAGCAGUGGGGAAUAUUGGACAAUGGGCGCAAGCCUGAUCCAGCCAUACCGCGUGGGUGAAGAAGGCCUUCGGGUUGUAAAGCCCUUUUGUUGGGAAAGAAAAGCAGCAGGUUAAUACCCCGCUGUUCUGACGGUACCCAAAGAAUAAGCACCGGCUAACUUCGUG
rnacentral:rRNA from 1 species